rnacentral:rRNA from 1 species
AACGCGAAGAACCUUACCUACUUUUGACAUCCACGGAAUCCGUCAGAGAUGAUGGAGUGCCUUCGGGAACCGUGAGACAGGUGCUGCAUGGCUGUCGUCAGCUCGUGUCGUGAGAUGUUGGGUUAAGUCCCGUAACGAGCGCAACCCUUAUCCUUAGUUGCCAACAGGUAAAGCUGGGAACUCUAAGGAGACUGCCGGUGACAAGCCGGAGGAAGGUGGGGACGACGUCAAGUCAUCAUGGCCCUUACGAGUAGGGCUACACGCGUGUUACAAUGGACGGUACAAAGGGCAGCGAAACUGUGAAGUGGAGCGAAUCUUAUCAAAGCCGUUCGUAGUCCGGAUUGGAGUCUGCAACUCGACUCCAUGAAGUUGGAAUCGCUAGUAAUCGUGGAUCAGAACGCCACGGUGAAUACGUUCCCGGGCCUUGUACACACCGACGCAC